GUGCCAAUCGAUCGCCUAUCGAGGCGCCCCCUUCCCUGGCUCAUGGUGAUUUUGCAACUUUCUAGCCGGCUGAGCCUGGCUUUACGCUGGCAACACUCGAAAGCUGGUGCGGAGAAGACUUCUCAUUUGCUUCGCUGCAGGAUGCUGGAGCUGCCAUGUAUGCCCCUUACUUCUGGCCCCUGUUUCAGCCGCGUUUCCCGUUCUAUGCCGGUUUUUCAAACUCUGUUUUUCGUUUUAUUCAAAUUUUAUUGCCGCUCCUCGAACACUCUCGUGCCCGCCAGCCCCAACCGGACGCGGAACGCGAGUUACGUAUAACCCCACUUCACUUCCCACAUAUGUCCAAAACCCAAUUUCUUCUUUACCACCUCUUAAUAAUAAAGUACAAGAAUUGCUUAACUCAUUAAAUGCUAAAUAAACAAUAUAUUAAAGUAAUACAGCAAACAGGAAAUGCACAGGUUAACGAUCUGGCACAUGCCAACCAAAAUAAGUUCUAAGAAUCCAAAUAAGCAAUAUAACACAGUAAACAGGAAAUGCAUAGUUCAUCGAUCGUUAUUAAAUUCAGGCUAACUAGAGGCCAACGAUCUUACACAUGUCGACCAGAAUAAUUCGUAAUAAGCACUUCUGUAAACCUAAAUUAAGUUUUCUUUAAAACAUUAUCAAUAAAGAAUAUUCAGUUGAUUUUUGCCCACCAAACCCGCUUGACG